rnacentral:rRNA from 1 species
UACGUAGGGUGCGAGCGUUAAUCGGAAUUACUGGGCGUAAAGCGUGCGCAGGCGGUUUUGCAAGCCGGAUGUGAAAUCCCCGGGCUUAACCUGGGAAUGGCAUUUGGGACUGCAAGGCUGGAGUGCGGCAGAGGAGACUGGAAUUCCUGGUGUAGCGGUGAAAUGCGCAGAUAUCAGGAGGAACACCGGUGGCGAAGGCGGGUCUCUGGGCAGUAACUGACGCUGAGGAGCGAAAGCGUGGGGAGCGAACAGG